GAUGAACGCUAGCGGCAGGCUUAAUACAUGCAAGUCGAGGGGCAGCACAGAUAGCAAUAUUGGGUGGCGACCGGCAAACGGGUGCGGAACACGUACACAACCUUCCUUUUAGUGUGGGAUAGCCCAGAGAAAUUUGGAUUAAUACCACAUAGUAUAUUGGAGUGGCAUCACUUUGAUAUUAAAGAUUUAUCGCUAAAAGAUGGGUGUGCGUAUGAUUAGGUAGUUGGUAGAGGUAACGGCUCACCAAGCCUUCGAUCAUUAACUGGUGUGGGAGCCCGACCGGUGACGCGGGCAGUGAGACACGGGCGCGACUCGUGCGGGGGGCAGCAGUAAGGAAUAUUGGUCAAUGGACGGAAGUCUGAACCAGCCGUGCCGCGUGAAGGAUGACGGCACUCUGGGUUGUAAACUUCGUUUAUGUGGGACGAAAAAGGGCCAUUUUUGGUCAACUGACGGUACCAUAGGAAUAAGCACCGGCUAACUCCGUGCCAGCAGCCGCCGUAA
rnacentral:rRNA from 1 species